UACUUGCUCAUUAUUCUCUACUUGCAUAAUACAAAUAUAAAUUAUUUUCAGGACUGACUGAUCAUCAUGUCAAUAGGCUAGAGAAGUACUUCCUGGUAUGGAGUGGCAAGUACAAGACCAUUAAAGAUGUUCCUGAUCUUGUGAACCAAGAUGUAAUGGAACGUGCCCGCAACAAGGCUAGGAUUAGGAUCAGUGCAUACAUGUGUGUAGCCACUCUACUAGGCUGUCUUGCUAUGGUCUACUCUGGCAAGAAGGCCCAAGAAAGGGGGGAGAGUGUGGCCAAGAUGAACAAGGAGUUCCAUGAAAAGUACCAAGAAGCUGACUUGCCAAAGGCUGCCAAGAAUUAGUACAUGUAUACAGAAAUUUAGUUUGCAUUGUUAUUGGUCCGGAUAAAAGCAGAGCUGCAUUGACCUCGUGUGAGCUCUUGGUUUACUUUCAUCGCUGUUGUAUUUGGGAAACUGUUCUUGCAUGUGUAUUGCCCACAUCAAUCUACCACUCAGGUAUGGCAUUGAUGAACUUAUAUCUUGUUGAUAGUCAGACACCUUUUCAUUCUAUUUAGCAAAAAGUACAUUGAACAAAUUCAUUUCAGACAUCACCUUUUUUCUAUUUUUUUUUUUUUUCAGCUCCUGGGACUUUACCUCUUCUUUCUGAAAGCUCUGCUUUCAUUGUGUGCACACUGACAUUUUAGUUGAAACUGACUUUCUUCUCAAAGUUAGGCUCUGUUAGCUUGUAAGUUAACUCCUUGCAUUACUACUUUGACAAUAAUUUCCCUUGCUCUUAAGUGCUUUGUGACCUGUUUGGUUUUGCCAAAUUUAGUGAUUAAUUAUAAUAAUUAAUAAUAAUACUCACACAUUACAAGUCUUGCUACUUUCUUGCCCUUAAUACUAACACAAGUAUCUUGAUUCAGGGAAUUAGAGCUAACAUUACUUUGGAACAGACUUGAUUAUUUUUUAUUCCCCAGAUGCAUUAUGACCCCUGUAGGUUUAUUGGUCUCUAGGCAAAAAUUAUUACAUUCACUAAAGGAGAGAGAGAGAUCCCUUAGAAUCAAAUGCAAUUCCUGAAGCAAUUUAUCAUAACUGUUAAUGUCGCAAAUUAUAUACACUGAUGAAUCUAGACAGUCUUCUUGGGGAAGUGGAACAGAAUUCUUCCUCCGUAAUCCAUGCGUGUCGUAAGAGGCGACUAAAAUGCUGGGAGCAAGGAGCUAGUAACCCCUUCUCCCGUAUAUAUUACUAAAUGUAAAAGGAGAAACUUUCGUUUUUCCUUUUGGGCCACCCCGCCUCGGUGGGAUACGGCUGGUGUGUUGAAAGAAAGAAUAGUAAUAAUAAUAAUAAUCUAGGCAGUCUACCAUCAGGGCUGCAUCUGAUCUUGACACCUUUGUAGAUAAGAAUUACAGCAGCCAUGUCGAGUUAGGCAUAAAAUUUAACAUUGGAACUUCUCCAUUAGAAAUUGCACUGCUUGCCAUCCUAAUGUCACUAGCUUGUUUGACGAUGAGCUUGAUGAAGCCUGCAUCAUUACUGAUUGUGUCAUCACUGGGUGCAUGCAGCUUGCAUAAUACUUGUUUAACAUCGUGUUCAUUGCUUAACUUAGGUGCAGUUUUUUUCCCCCUCCCUCUGAGGUAAGGUGCUCCCCGGGGAAAAAAAAAAAAACUCGGUCCAUCAGUAUCUUGCUAAAGGGGUGCUGAUACUAUAAUUUAAAAUGAAAAUGGCAAAAAAAUAAAGGAAUUAAUUUAAAUUAAGGACAGAGACACUGAAUAACCUGGAGGAUACCAGGACAGGGUUUUGUGGAUCAGUGCCCCCGCAGCCUGGUCUGUGACCAGGCCUCCUUUCUCCUAAAAUACUUUGAUUCCUUUUGGCUUAGAGCCCUUUCCAUAAAUGUAACUGUAAUAAUCCUAAUCCUAUUUUAUAAUGCUGAUGAAUUAGACAAAGAAAAUACCUCCAGUGAAAAUGUAACUUUGGUGUAUUUGUCACAUCAGAAAUAUUGGAGAGAAAUAAUGAAUGUGAUUGUCAAAGGAAUACAGUUAGAAGCCUGAGUGAUCUAUAACAUGCUAUGAUAACACCAGUGUAGAUAAAGCACAUUGACAGAACAACUUGGAAUGUAAAAAAAAAAAAAAAUGCACUGAAUCAUUGAUGUAUUGGACUAAUGAGGUGAAGGGGGUGUUGGCUUUAAUGAAAA